GACGAACGCCGUCGGCGUGCUUAACACAUGCAAGUCGAACGGAAAGGCCCUGCUUUUGUGGGGUGCUCGAGUGGCGAACGGGUGAGUAACACGUGGGUAACCUGCCCUUGACUUUGGGAUAACUUCAGGAAACUGGGGCUAAUACCGGAUAGGAGCUCCUGCUGCAUGGUGGGGGUUGGAAAGUUUCGGCGGUUGGGGAUGGACUCGCGGCUUAUCAGCUUGUUGGUGGGGUAGUGGCUUACCAAGGCUUUGACGGGUAGCCGGCCUGAGAGGGUGACCGGCCACAUUGGGACUGAGAUACGGCCCAGACUCCUACGGGAGGCAGCAGCGGGGAAUAUUGCACAAUGGGCGGAAGCCUGAUGCAGCAACGCCGCGUGCGGGAUGACGGCCUUCGGGUUGUAAACCGCUUUCGCCUGUGACGAAGCGUGAGUGACGGUAAUGGGUAAAGAAGCACCGGCUAACUACGUGCCAGCAGCCGCGGUGAUACGUAGGGUGCGAGCGUUGUCCGGAUUUAUUGGGCGUAAAGGGCUCGUAGGUGGUUGAUCGCGUCGGAAGUGUAAUCUUGGGGCUUAACCCUGAGCGUGCUUUCGAUACGGGUUGACUUGAGGAAGGUAGGGGAGAAUGGAAUUCCUGGUGGAGCGGUGGAAUGCGCAGAUAUCAGGAGGAACACCAGUGGCGAAGGCGGUUCUCUGGGCCUUUCCUGACGCUGAGGAGCGAAAGCGUGGGGAGCGAACAGGCUUAGAUACCCUGGUAGUCCACGCUGUAAACGGUGGGUACUAGGUGUGGGGUCCAUUCCACGGGUUCCGUGCCGUAGCUAACGCUUUAAGUACCCCGCCUGGGGAGUACGGCCGCAAGGCUAAAACUCAAAGGAAUUGACGGGGCCCCGCACAAGCGGCGGAGCAUGCGGAUUAAUUCGAUGCAACGCGUAGAACCUUACCUGGGUUUGACAUGGAUCGGGAGUGCUCAGAGAUGGGUGUGCCUCUUUUGGGGUCGGUUCACAGGUGGUGCAUGCCUGUCGUCAGCUCGUGUCGUGAGAUGUUGGGUUAAGUCCCGCAACGAGCGCAACCCUUGUUCACUGUUGCCAGCACGUUAUGGUGGGGACUCAGUGGAGACCGCCGGGGUCAACUCGGAGGAAGGUGGGGAUGACGUCAAGUCAUCAUGCCCCUUAUGUCCAGGGCUUCACGCAUGCUACAAUGGCUGGUACAGAGAGUGGCGAGCCUGUGAGGGUGAGCGAAUCUCGGAAAGCCGGUCUCAGUUCGGAUUGGGGUCUGCAACUCGACCUCAUGAAGUCGGAGUCGCUAGUAAUCGCAGAUCAGCAACGCUGCGGUGAAUACGUUCCCGGG
rnacentral:rRNA from 1 species